rnacentral:tRNA from 1 species
AGCGGAGUGGAGUAGAGGUAACUCACGAGGCUCAUAACCUCGGGACACCAGUUCGAUUCUGGUCUCCGCAACAA